rnacentral:tRNA from 1 species
CGGGGUGUAGCGCAGCCCGGUAGCGCACUUGACUGGGGGUCAAGGGGUCGUAACCCAAACCAUUUCCUUCCAU